UCGGUAACAAACAAAAAGAAAAAAGUGGAACUCGCUGCGCACAACCCAUCGACCCAAAACCCACCCCCUCCCGAUCCCAGCUCCUCCAGCGCCGCCUCCUCCCUUCCCGCCGGCUCGCCGCCUCCUCCCUCCCCCGCCGGCGCGCCACCUCCUUCCUCCCCUGCCCGGUCGCCGGCGCCCACGGCCGGCCCCAACCAAGCGCUGCCGCCCUCCGUGCCCGCCGUCCCAACCACCGGCCGCCAUGCGCCUCUCUCCUCCGGCCGUCGUGCGCCUCCCAACCCCGGUCGUCGCGCGCCUCUUACCCCGGCCAUCGCGCCUCCGACCCCACCCGUCGCUCGCCUCCGACCCCUGGCCGCCGCGCGCCUCCCUCCACCCGGCUCCCUGUGCAGCUAUGGAGUCCGUCCUGGCUGAUCUACUCUGGCCGUUCAACUUUGCGUCUUCCGGCCGCUCGGCCAGUGGAGCUCGACAAAGAGCACCCCGGUCUCGCUUGUGUGUGGAGUUCCGAGCAUCUUCUACCGCUGUGUGCUGCUCUCUUCUAUUUUCAACUGAAUGUGCUGCCAUGUGUGGAUUUACUCUCGACUCGCCGGGGUGGAGCUCCUUCGCCUUUAGCCAUCGAUCCAUAGUUCAUUCUCAGUACAGACUCUGAAGUUGCCCAAUACAUGUUGGGGGGCAUUUAUGGAAUCACGUAUCCUUCUUGCAGCUGUAAUUUUGAUUGCAUAGCAGUAUAGUUUAGUUGUCUCUGAAGUUUAGAUCCACAACAGUACAAUUUAGUCCCAGCUGCCAUGAUUUUGCAAACCAUUUUUUGCUCCCAAAAAUAUGGUGCUUUGUUGCAACAAAUUGUGGGGAAAAUUAGUGAAAAAAUAAAUUGUGCUCCCAAAAGUUCAUAUGAUAUACUGUUGUUAAAAAAUAAUCAUAGAAAAAGUUCAAUUUGUGUUAUUGAAACAACUCAAUCUAUCGGUUUUAUAUUAUAUGAUAAGUGAUGCAUAGGAAUGUUGCAACGAUUCGACUCUGAGAGCUAGUAAGUUUGACAAAAAAACAACAUAGUGCAUGUCAGUUCGUUUGAAGCAUACCAGUCUUUCAGUUUUUGAGUUUGUCAGUUCACCGAUGGGAUCCGCAGGUCAUCCCCUCAUCUUCAACAAUUACUCUUCAGCCUUUUUUUUUAAAGAGGAAAGGAAGAUAGAUGCCUCUUUAUUACUCCUGAGAAGAAUUGAUUUAAGAUACCGGUCUUACUUCUAUCAAGAUCCAAGGUAUUUUCAAUAUUUUUGGCAAAAGACUAGAUCGAGUGAGAGAUCCUUCUCCACCUACUCUGUCCAUAACACUCGCCAAAACUGAGCAAGGUACAUUUAACCACUACAGACAUACAACCGAAACUACAUCUAGAACUACAGAAGUUACACUGAAAACUGAAACAAACUAACGGUAAACAAGAAGUUUAUUAUAACAUAAGUUUGUGUCUCGUUCAUUUUUUGGUUUCGCAAAAAGUUGAGGACUGGUCAGAGUUGAGCUGAAACCAGACCCUCAGAGCUGAGGCCAUGUAAAAUGGUCAUGGCAGUUGAACUAAUGCCAUGGAAUUCUUUUAAAGACAUCCGGACGUUCAACAAUAAAAGAUACAUAAGUACAUGUAUGUGCUGACAAGUUGAACCAAGUCAUUUUACAUUUAAUGCCUUUGGUCUUGUUCUUGGCAGAUUUUCUAUAAUGCUUUGGUAUUUUUGCUCGACUCAAGUGCCCGCUUUGGGCAACUAGAUGAUAUAAGUUCAUGUUGUGGAUAGGUGAUGGAUAAAAUGGUGCUAAUUACAGCAGUUCAAAGAUUCUUUUUAACACUACUGUAGCACUUCAAAUAAUGUUUUUGGGCGACAAUGUUUAUGCUUUUUUGUAUUACAAGUUACAAAAGUGUUGGACUUAUCAGUUGUGACCUACUUUGGUUCUGAGAAAGAGCUCCUCAAAUGCAUGUCACAUGUUUUUGCUUGAGCUGGCCUUAACUUCUAGUUCUGUUUGCACUCUAUGAUGGCAACGUGUUCUAGUGCAAGUCUACUAAUAUAUCAUCUUUAUUUUGGCUCUACAAUGGUUGCAAACCAGAAAUGUUCUCCACCUCAAACGUACUCCAUUCUUCCAUUUUUAUAGCUAUUUUAUUUUGUUCCUUGUUCACUCGCAACCCACUGUUAGUUCACUCGCAAACUGCAAUAGCGGCCACAACUAAGGGCAUUUGCUUCCAGCACAGGAGCUACAUGCUCGACGGUUGCGCACUGCCGCCAUGGACAUGCACAAAGAUAUUAAGUACAAGUAUGUUAGUUAAGUUUUUUACUAUUGAUUUACCUUGUUUAAGUAGUAGUGCAGCAAAAAAUGGUGUAGUUGUACUGAAGUUUUAGUUGCUAUAUGGGGAACCUGGGGGCCAUUUAUUUUGGUUUUCAGUUCAACUUUUCUGUUCUUUUCAAUCCUAUGCUUUAUUGUGCACAAUCUUGAGGAAAUCCCCAAAAAUCAUGUGUGCACUCAAGGUAGUUAAGCGCCUUUGUAAAAUUUUGACAGUCCAUCCCAGACUAAGCAAACAGUACAUGUUAGUCUUGGUUUGUGGUUAGACAUGCAAACAAUACAUGUGUGUACCGUUGCUCUUGCUUAUUAAAGCCUGCAUCGAUAGUUAAUCUUGAACUGGAUGUUUUAUUCUAUGUUAGGUGAAUGAAGCCGUGGUGCCAGCAGCCACCUGCGCUACAGAAUGCAAGUGUUUGCAGUUUGCUCACCAGAAUGUUGAAUGAGACUACAUCAUUAUUACUCAAAAAAUUCAUUUUGCAUUUGUUCAGAAUUGUUCUCUGUAUCCGUGGCAAAUAAUGUUUUUUUUUCUGGUUUAAUGCAAUACUCCUGUGGAAGCACUAAAACACGCUACCUGUUGAACUGAUGCUGAAGACAAGGAGCAGGACCAAGUGUGCUGGAAGUAUUUUUGUACCCAUGUGUAACAUCCUCGAUGUGACUAUAUCUCCCACGUGUCGAGGCACGACUUAGAGGUAUAAUCGCAUUGAAGGCAUAUGUCGUAAAUUAGGCAGUCUUCACAACAUCCCAUGUAAUAUAAAUCAUAAAGGGGAGAUAACAUA